rnacentral:lncRNA from 1 species
AACAGUUUUAUGCUGAUUAUCAACCAAUUAACCUUUGCUUUUUUUCUGAACCGCAUCUAUUCAAUGUCUGCAUUUGAUUUUGUUUUAUUUUUUUUCCAGGCUGAAAGGAUUAUCCUGUUGCAUUGUAAACAACCACUAAACCUUCUAAAGAGAUUUCUCAUCUGCACUGUUUUGCUGGUAGUGAUGAAAUGGAUAUCUGUGGAAAUAUUCCCUUUUUGGAAUAUUGGAUGA